GAUGAAGAACGUAGCGAAAUGCGAUAAUUAAUGUGAAUUGCAGAAUUUAGUGAAUCAUCGAAUCUUUGAACGCACAUUGCGCCCCUUGGUAUUCCGGGGGGCAUGCCUGUUCGAGCGUCAUUUCAACCCUCGACCUCCCCUUGGGGAGGUCGGCGUUGGGGACCGGCAGCACACCGCCGGCCCUGAAAUGGAGUGGCGGCCCGUCUGCGGCGACCUCUGCGUAGUAAUACAGCUCGCACCGGAACCCCGACGCGGCCACGCCGUAAAACACCCAACUUCUGAACGUUGACCUCGAAUCAGGUAGGACUACCCGCUGAACUUAAGCAUAUCAAUAAGCGGAGGA
rnacentral:misc_RNA from 1 species